GUGGGGUUUAUAGGAUCACGGAGGUGGUGUUGUGGUUGUAUAUAAAACUUAUUAGGUAGAAGUGAUGGGGGCUGCUGCAUUGGUGGGUGGAUAGAGGCGGUUGAGGUGACAGUGGUUUUAAUGGCGGGUGUACAUUUGCCAAUACCUUUCAAGCAUUUAAGCACCAUUGUUUAGUUCUCAAUGGAUAACUUCUCAAGCACAGAGAGUAUUUUGGAUUCAGAGAGUAGCAAAAACUGCGGUCAUUCUCUAUAUGGCACAAUAAGUUGAAUGAGAAUUCAAUCAAAUGGCUGGGGUUUAGAGACGCUCUUAGUGGCCAGAUGCUUUAGGAAAAUUGGAAUCCGUCUCAGAUGUUACCAUGGUAUUUUUUUGAUACCCAAGAUAGGACUAGCGAAGUGCCAAAGAGGGAAAUAGAAAUCCAAAAUGCAAAGUUUGUCGGUAUUUUGAGAUGAAGGUACUAGAUAAUCACGUUGUUUAUCUAUAGCAGCUUCUUUUGCUUUUUGCUGAAGUAAAUGGAUCGGCAUUAAGGUAACUUUGUGGGAAGAAUGCUGCAUAUCAGUAGUGGGGGAAAUGAAGAUGGAAAUGUGCCCGUAAUUGUUAUAAUAACUGCAACGUUCGUAAUCGAGUUUCGAGGUACACUUGGAUUGGCCACAAACACUGCGUUCAAGGUAUUGGUCAAUCUGGCCAUAUCUGAGGUCAAUGAAUUAAGAAAAAAUGCAAGUAUGCAUCAUCUGAAGUGGAAAGUGUAAAUAUUAAUAAAUGCACACUGCAAAGAUAAUUAAUUUAUUUAGGCUUGGUCCAGAAAGACUAUGAGAUUUCAAAAGAUCGACCUGGCCCUGCAAGAUGAUCCCUCCGAGGAUAUAAAGACUAUAUAGGAAGCGACUGAUAUGCUGCAGUAUGAUGAUAACAAGAUUUUCAUGCAGGAGUAAUUCACUGAGAUAUAUUUGAUUUGAUUCGAAAGACGGCGGAAAAGUUGAUGAGGUGCAUGGAACACUGCUGCGAGGUAUGGGGUAUUGGUAUGAAUCGUAUGUUUGGAUGGAUGGAUAUUGUACUAUGGAAUCAUGCUCACGAAGUUGUUAUAUAGUCUAAUUGAAGGUCCACAAAGUGGAACCAGAAGAAAGUUGGUUUAAGAAGAUGGUAGGCUCAAAAACCUACAAUAAUAAUACUGCAAGUGCACAGUGUCUAACUAGGAGAACAAUGGAAAGUACAGGUCGUUCCCAUGAGGAGU